AGUGAACGCUGGCGGUGGGCCUAACACAUGCAAGUCGAACGGCAGCACAGUAAGAGCUUGCUCUUACGGGUGGCGAGUGGCGGACGGGUGAGGAAUACAUCGGAAUCUACUUUUUCGUGGGGGAUAACGUAGGGAAACUUACGCUAAUACCGCAUACGACCUACGGGUGAAAGCAGGGGAUCUUCGGACCUUGCGCGAUUGAAUGAGCCGAUGUCGGAUUAGCUAGUUGGCGGGGUAAAGGCCCACCAAGGCGACGAUCCGUAGCUGGUCUGAGAGGAUGAUCAGCCACACUGGAACUGAGACACGGUCCAGACUCCUACGGGAGGCAGCAGUGGGGAAUAUUGGACAAUGGGCGCAAGCCUGAUCCAGCCAUACCGCGUGGGUGAAGAAGGCCUUCGGGUUGUAAUGCCCUUUUGUUGGGAAAGAAAAGCAGCAGGUUAAUACCCCGCUGUUCUGACGGUACCCAAAGAAUAAGCACCGGCUAACUUCGUG
rnacentral:rRNA from 1 species